rnacentral:lncRNA from 15 species
AUUCAGACAGUGGUUCGUAGGAUGAGUGUGUAAAAUAAACCUGCAAAAUUAUAUACAUGGAAGGCGUAAGUGGUAUGGAAAGAAUGAAUUAAGGAAGGAUUAGAAGAGGGACAGAUGGAUUCUGGCCAUGUUCACAAUAAUUUGAAAAUAGAGUGUUAAAGCCGAGUAUCACCAAAUGGUGUAUGAUGCGCGCCAGUGUAAUUUCUCAUGUUAUCACAAUGCCUUUUUUUCUUAUUUGAAGUAAGUGUUUGUCCAUUCUGAGCUACUAUAGAAACAUGGCGGUUCAACAUAGUGGAAGAGAGGAAAAAUGUCUCAUUCUAAGAUGUGUCAAGCAUAAAUCAUCACAGUGAGGAUGAGAACCAGCCGCCUGCGCAGCUCCUUGAGACAGUUGGGGACAAACAGACUCAUGCUGUAUGGGAAAGGCAGGGCCCCUAAUCUGUGCCCGGGAGAGCUCACCCUGCUCUCCCCUCCUGAACUUUGUCUUGGUGCAGGUCACCUCACUGGGGCCACGGGGGAGAGGCUACCUCAGCCAAGCCCUAAUCCUGGGGAGUCGAUAGAUGCUAGCAUGGCUGCAGGCCUCAGCUCUGCACAAACGCCCCAGGGAGAGCUGCUCAUUUCAAUAAAUGUAAAGUGAUGCUGUCCACAAGCAAACAUGAAAGCUACACACACACACACACACACACACACACACACACACACACACACACAUGUUAAUAAACAUGCACACACAUACCCACACACGUGAGUUGGAGAUGUGAUGGAGAAUUGGUCCUCGGGGCGAAAUAUGGAGGAGUGAUCCGGUGAUGUAGUUAAAUGACAGGCAAGCGAGUGGAACAUUUGCUCGCUUGAUGCUGUCGAUGCGUCGCUGCUGCCCCGAUAAGACCUUAUUUACAUUUGUCAGGGUGGAAUUGAUUUCUUUUUUGCCCUUUACAGACUGCUCAAACUGCAGAGUGGAUGGGAGCUGUGUCGCACACCUCUGAGCCAAGAAUGUCUGUCAAAGUCUUGGUUAUAAAACCCUGACAACUUUUGAAAAAAAAAAAAAAUUAAAAAGAAAAUCCGGAAUUUUCUCUCAUUUUACUUCAUACAUACUGCCACACGUGUGGCCGCACAAGCCUACAACCUUCACCUUUAUGUGUGUGACAGGGACAUAUGUUGAUGUUAACCCCCUGUGGAGAGGAGCCUGGUGCAAAAUCUGUUUGUGUUUG